CACCAGUGACCUGCAAAGCCAUCAGCCAUGGCAGAUCGAGCAUCUCCUCUAAGUUCUAGUAGUAGGGAUAGGAAUCAGGGUCAGUUUCCUCUCCUGGCUGUAGCAGCAGCAGCAGCAGUGGAAGGGGCAUGCAGAGGAGCACGAGGCUUGGCUGGAAGCCGACCUACGCCUCGCUGGCUCUCCUGUGCCUGCCUCUUCCAUUCCUUCUGCUACGCUAUGAUUGCAACAGUCAGAGCCCAGAAAUGCAAGCAUCUGCAAUUGCCAUCAGGUGAAUCACAUGGAGAGCUCCAGGACUUCUGAAGUCUGAAGAUAGACCACGGAUGCGGUCGACACGGAUCUGGCGGGCAACAAUGUCCAAGUACCUGCAUGUGAACAGAUCGUGGGGCUGCAUUCCCAAACCCUGCAAACGAAAAUUCCUUCACUUUUGUUAAAAAUGAAAUGCAAGUGUGAAAUGGAACCAUCGACUAGCAGCUUUGUAUAUUUCCUCAAGUUACACUUGAUGAUUGCAUCAUUUGGCCCCGCUCAUCAGUUGCUUCAGAAUACAGGGAAUCAGUCAGAAUGUGCGAAGAAUUCACUAGGGCCGGGCAGUAUGUAUACUCGUAGUUUCACUUGAUUAAUACCAGCUACCUACAGUACAAAACAA